rnacentral:rRNA from 1 species
AUACGUAGGUGGCAAGCGUUGUCCGGAAUUAUUGGGCGUAAAGCGCAUGUAGGCGGUUUGGUAAGUCGGUCGUGAAAAUGCGGUGCUUAACGCCGUAUGGCGAUCGAAACUGAUGAACUUGAGUGCAGGAGAGGAAAGGGGAACUCCCAGUGGAGCGGGGAAAUGCGUAGAUAUUGGGAAGAACACCGGUGGCGAAGGCGCCUUUCUGGACUGUGUCUGACGCUCAGAUGCGAAAGCCAGGGUAGCGAACGGGAUUAGAUACCCCGGUAGUCCUGGCCGUAAACGAUGGGUACUAGGUGUGGGAGGUAUCGACUCCUUCCGUGCCGGAGUUAACGCAAUAAGUACCCCGCCUGGGGAGUACGGCCGCAAGGCUUAAACUCAAAUGAAUCGACGGGG